rnacentral:rRNA from 1 species
GACGAACGCUGGCGGCGUGCUUAACACAUGCAAGUCGAACGAAGUGGCGAACGGGUGAGUAACGCGUAAUCAACCUGCCAUUCAGAGGGGGACAACAGUUGGAAACGACUGCUAAUACCGCAUACUGAAGGAGGGGAUUGUGUCGGAUUAGCUAGUUGGAGGGGUAACGGGCCACCAAGGCGAUGAUCAGUAGCCUGGCUGAGAGGAUGAACGGCCACAUUGGGACUGAGACACGGGCCAGGCUCCUACGGGAGGCAGCAAGGGGGAAACUUCCGACAUGGGGGAAAGUCUGGCGGAGCAAAGCCGGUGGUAUGAAGGAGGCCUUCGGGUUGUAAAGCUCUGUUAAUCAGGAAACGGUACCGGAAUAGAAAGCCACGGCUAACUACGUGCCAGCAGCCGCGGUAAUAC